rnacentral:rRNA from 1 species
UACGGAGGAUGCAAGCGUUAUCCGGAAUGAUUGGGCGUAAAGCGUCCGCAGGUGGCAGUUCAAGUCUGCUGUCAAAGACCGGGGCUCAACCCUGGAAAGGCAGUGGAAACUGAGCAGCUAGAGUGCGGUAGGGGCAGAGGGAAUUCCCAGUGUAGCGGUGAAAUGCGUAGAGAUUGGGAAGAACACCGGUGGCGAAAGCGCUCUGCUAGGCCGCAACUGACACUCAGGGACGAAAGCUAGGGGAGCGAAUGGGAUUAGAUACCCCAGUAGUCCUAGCCGUAAACGUUGGAUACUAGGCGUGGCUUGUAUCGACCCGAGCCGUGCCGCAGCUAACGCGUUAAGUAUCCCGCCUGGGGAGU